GAUGAACGCUGGCGGCGUGCCUAAUACAUGCAAGUCGAGCGAACGGACGAGAAGCUUGCUUCUCUGAUGUUAGCGGCGGACGGGUGAGUAACACGUGGAUAGCCUACCUAUAAGACUGGGAUAACUUCGGGAAACCGGAGCUAAUACCGGAUGAUAUUUUGAACCGCAUGGUUCAAAAGUGAAAGACGGUCUUGCUGUCACUUAUAGAUGGAUCCGCGCUGCACUAGCUAGUUGGUAAGGUAACGGCUUACCAAGGCAACGAUGCAUAGCCGACCUGAGAGGGUGAUCGGCCACACUGGAACUGAGACACGGUCCAGACUCCUACGGGAGGCAGCAGUAGGGAAUCUUCCGCAAUGGGCGAAAGCCUGACGGAGCAAUGCCGCGUGAGUGAUGAAGGUCUUCGGAUCGUAAAACUCUGUUAUUAGGGAAGAACAUAUGUGUAAGUAACUGUGCACAUCUUGACGGUACCUAAUCAGAAAGCCACGGCUAACUACGUG
rnacentral:rRNA from 1 species